rnacentral:sRNA from 1 species
UUACGCGAUUUCGGUUUUCGUUUCUCUCCAAAACUCUGAUCAUAUUUUUUUUUUAAACGUGUCAAUCUUCCCUGCUCUCUUCACCACCCAGCACCUCCGUCCCCGCCUCAUCUCGUUCUCCAUCACUAUGUCCCCCCUUUUGUUCUCCUUCCUCUCACUCACGCUCCCAUUGAUGUGGUGAGUGAAGCACUAAAAUCGGCUAAGAUGAGUUCGCUUAUUGUACCACCUUGAGCCAAAACCCUUUUCAAGACACUUUUCGGGUUACGAUCCUUCUUCUUGCACUUUAGAAAAUCCAAGUUCUCAGAGUGGCACCGGAUCCCAAUGUGCUUCCAUGAUGCCAUCAACACCGACGACGAUGGGAUUGGAUUUCCCGAGGCAUCUACCGCGCUCGCCAUGUGCUGUUCGAUACUUGAUAGCCACAACAAAAAAGAGAAAACGCAAUUCGAUCAGUGUCGUUAAGUUCCUGAAAAAACGAAAGUAAAUUACUGAGAAAAUGGGGGAAAAGAGAAAAUGGAGAACGGAAAGAUAUUUACGACAUUGCCCUUACCCGUGGUUGUUGGAAAGCGGUGGUUCUGGCUUCUUCAAGAAUCUGAAUUCGAAGGGAGAAACCCAGGCAGUAUAAACUACCCAGAAUAAUAAGGAAAGUUUCCCAUAUCCUGCAAAAUCCACAAAUUUUAUUUACCUAAUACUAGUGUUACUCAUCUGCGUUGGAAAACACAGAAAAGAAAAAUAUUUUUAUACACGAAAUUUCAGUUUUAGUUACAGAGUCAACAACAAAACAUAUUUAUAAGAAAUUUUGAAUUAUCUCUUGACACUUAUUUUCAGUGGAACAUUGCAUGCACAACAAUCACCAUAUUCUAGUUGUUUCAAAUUCAG